rnacentral:sRNA from 1 species
GCUUCGAAGAUUGUUUCAGAAGCUUUGGGCGGCGGGCGUCUCUGAGAGAAAUUAGAGUAUUGUCAUAGGCAACAGUCCAGAACUCAAGAGAAUGAACUGAAAAUAAACGCUGUGUUUUCAGAGAGUGCUUCACAGUUGACUGCAGGCAUUCAGCUUUCUCUGGCAUCAUCUGGCAUGAAUAAAAUGCUUCCUUCAGUUUCAACCACAGCUAUUCAGGUUUCCUGUGCUGGUUGUAAAAAAAUUCUCCAGAAGGGGCAAACUGCUUAUCAGAGGAAAGGAUCUGCUCAACUUUUCUGCUCCAUACCAUGCAUCACUGAAUACAUUUCAUCUGCCAGUUCACCAGUUCCUUCUAAGAGAACUUGUUCAAACUGCUCAAAAAACCUGCCAAACCACUUAUAUCUGUUCCUUGCAAACCAUUGAAGCCCUCAGAUGAAAUGAUUGAGACUACCAGUGAUUUGGGGAAGACAGAGCUUUUCUGCUCUAUUAAUUGUUUCUCUGCAUACAGUAAAGCUAAGAUGGAAUCUUCUUCAGUAAAUGUUGUUUCUGUGGUGCAUGAUACUUCAACAGAGCUUCUUUCUCCAAAGAAAGAUACGACUCCAGUUAUAAGCAAUAUAGUGUCAUUGGCAGACACCGAUGUUGCCUUGCCCAUCAUGAACACUGAUGUCUU